GGCUUCAUAGCUCAGUUGGUAUAGCAUAUGCAUCGCACCGGUAACGCGGAGGUCAUGGGAUCAAAUCCUGUUGGAGCCC